CCUCGAUCGGGUGAACUGUGGUUAAGGAACUCGGCAAAUUGCCCCCGUAACUUCGGGAGAAGGGGGGCCUCCGCUGGUGAUCAGACUUGCUUUGUGAGCUGGUGGGGGUCGCAGAGGCCAGGGGGAAGCGACUGUUUACUAAAAACACAGGUCCGUGCGAAGUCGUAAGACGAUGUAUACGGACUGACGCCUGCCCGGUGCUGGAACGUUAAGGGGACCGGUUAGCGCAUCUCCGGGUGUGCGAGGCUGAGAACUUAAGCGCCAGUAAACGGCGGUGGUAACUAUAACCAUCCUAAGGUAGCGAAAUUCCUUGUCGGGUAAGUUCCGACCUGCACGAAUGGCGUAACGACUUCCCCGCUGUCUCAACCGCAGACCCAGCGAAAUUGCACUACGAGUAAAGAUGCUCGUUACGCGCAGCAGGACGGAAAGACCCCGGGACCUUCACUACAGCUUGACAUUGGCGUUUGGAACGUCUUGUGUAGGAUAGGUGGGAGACUGUGAAGCUGUCACGCUAGUGGUGGUGGAGUCAUUGGUGAAAUACCACUCUGGUCGUUUUGAACGUCUAACUUCGGUCCGUGAUCCGGAUCAGGGACAGUGUCUGGUGGGUAGUUUAACUGGGGCGGUUGCCUCCUAAAGAGUAACGGAGGCGCCCAAAGGUUCCCUCAGCCUGGUUGGUAAUCAGGUGUCGAGUGUAAGUGCACAAGGGAGCUUGACUGUGAGACCGACGGGUCGAGCAGGAGCGAAAGCUGGGACUAGUGAUCCGGCGGUGGCAUGUGGAAGCGCCGUCGCUCAACGGCUAAAAGGUACCCCGGGGAUAACAGGCUGAUCUUCCCCAAGAGUCCAUAUCGACGGGAUGGUUUGGCACCUCGAUGUCGGCUCGUCGCAUCCUGGGGCUGGAGUAGGUCCCAAGGGUUGGGCUGUUCGCCCAUUAAAGCGGUACGCGAGCUGGGUUUAGAACGUCGCGAGACAGUUCGGUCCCUAUCCGCUGCGCGCGCAGGAGACUUGAAAGGAGCUGUCCCUAGUACGAGAGGACCGGGACGGACGAACCUCUGGUGUGCCAGUUGUUCCGCCAGGAGCAUGGCUGGUUGGCUACGUUCGGAAGGGAUAACCGCUGAAAGCAUCUAAGCGGAAGCUCGCCUUGAGAUGAGGUCUCCCACCACGAGAGUGGGUAAGGCCCCCGGGAGACGACCGGGUUGAUAGGCCGGAGGUGGAAGCAUGGCAACGUGUGGAGCUGACCGGUACUAAUAGGCCGAGGACUUGAUCAA
rnacentral:rRNA from 1 species